GGGGGGCGCCCAUGAGAAGCCGCCGGGGGCUUCCGGGUACUUUUCUGUCCGGAAACUCGACGCCGUCCUGCCCCAGCCGAGCCCGACCCCCGUUUUCCUGUACCUGUUGGGACGUCCCUCAAGUUCCCUAAGCUUGCCAAGGGCCGAAACCCAGAUCAAAGCUUUUUGGAGGAAUCAGCCUUCUGAGGACUUUCCUCUGCAUCUGCUCGGUGGGUGGCAUCUGGAAAUGACAGGUUUAUUCAAGAGAAGGUAAAAAUUAAAAAAUAAUUUUCUGACCUUGCCUGCGCCCGCCUGGAGCCAGCGGUUCUCCAAGCACCCAACAUCCUGCGAGACACACCGCACACCGACGGAGGGGACAUGGGUAGAGCAAUGGUGGCUACGCUCGGGCUGGGGCUGCUGCUGCUGGUACUGCUCCUACCCACGCAGAUUUAUUCCAAUGAAACAACUACUGGAACAACUUCAAGUAACCCCUCCCAGAAUACUUCCAACUUUGGGAUUGCCCCAAAUCCAACUAAUGCCACCACCAAGGUGGCUGGUGGUGCCCUGCAGUCAACAGCCAGUCUCUUAGUGGUCUCACUCUCUCUUCUACAUCUCUACUGUUAAGAGACUCAGGCCAAGAAACAUCUUCUAAACUUCCCCAUCUUCUAAACCCAAUCCAAAUGGCGUCUGGAAGUCCAACGUGGCAAGGAAAAACAGGUCUUCAUCGAAUCUACUAAUUCCACACCUUUUAUUGACACAGAAAAUGUUGAGAAUCCCAAAUUUGAUUUGAAGAACGUGUGAGAGGUUUGACUAGAUGAUGGAUGCCAAUAUUAAAUCUGCUGGAGUUUCAUGCACAAGAUGAAGGAGAGGCAACAUCCAAAAUAGUUAAGACAUGAUUUCCUUGAAUGUGGCUUGAGAAAUAUGGACACUUAAUACUACCUUGAAAAUAAGAAUAGAAAUAAAGGAUGUGAUUGUGGAAUGGAAAAUAAUAAUAAUAAUAAUAAUUUUCUGGUAAAUAUUAUACAUAUUCUGUAAGCACAUGAGGUCAGGACUUUGGACUUCUCUCACCCCUGACAUAGGGUACCUAGCACAAUGCUUGGCACAUGGUAGGUGUAUCAUAAACAUGCCAAAUGACUGAAUGAGUGAGGCGAUGAACUGUGCACGCCGACAGGUCAGACAGUCUCAUGAUUAAGUGCAUGGACUCUGGCACCAGAUCUGUGGGAUUCAAUUCCAGUUCUUCAGUAGCUCUGACCUUGGAUGAAUUACGUAGUAUCAGUGUGCUUCAUCUCUAAAUUAGGGAUAGUAAUAGUGCUUACUUCAGAGGGUGCUGCGAGCAUUCAGUGAGUUACAGAGCCCGGCACACACUCUCAAUGUUAGCUAGUAGUAUACAUACUAUAUGAGACCCUCAGGAAAAGCCCCAAAUAGUGCUGGUUCCCAACUCUGCUACGUAACAGAUGUUCCUUUUCAGGGGCAGCAUAUGUGGCAGACUGUAAUUUACGAAGAUGGCAAGAACAAUGUCUCCUGAUCCAUGUGCUUUUCUAGAACCUCGUACUCCCCCAUCAAGAGGUAGAGUCUAAUCCUCCGCCCCUUGAGUCUGGGGAGCUUGUGACUUGCUUGGAACCGAUUUUGGACGGCUAUAAUCCUGCCAUGUAAUAUUCACAGCUGGGUUUUUAAAAGCCACGUGUGUGCUUCUGCCUCCUUAGCAGGAAGACUUACCUUUGGAGCCCUGGGCCAACAAACAAGCUGUUUCCCUGGCCUGAGGCCAUGUGAUGAGGCCACAUGAACUUUUUCCAGCUCAUAGCCCUAGCUGAGGUCCCAGCCAACAGCCAGCAUCCACCGCAAGAUGAAUGAGAGAGGACCCUCCACACCCCCGAGCCAUGGUGCCAUGCCUGCUCUCAAGUCCUCCUAGCUGAGGCCCUAGAUGUGUGGAGCAGACAAGCUGCCUCUGCCUCCCCCAUCCCCCCACUGUGCUCUUUCCAGAUUCCUGACCCACAGAAUUAGGAGAAAAUUUAAAUGGUGGUUAUUUUACACCACUGACUUUGGGGUGGUUUGUUACACACCAGUCCGUAGCAACUGUGACAGCAUACAAGAUGAACAGAGUGAACAGAUGCAUUCACCUGCAUGCUGAACAGAGGGCUGAAGGCUCCCACCCCUUCCAAAAUGAUGGGCUCCACAUCUGCCUCAAAGAACGUGUAACCCCUGCAAAUCCUUCCCUAAAGUCUCUUUGCUUAGCAAUCCUUCUGCUUGGCCCGGCAUGGUGGCUCAUGCCUGUAAUCCCAGCACUUUGAGAGGCUGAGGUGGGUGGAUCAUUUGAGGUCAGCAGUUCAAGACCAGCCUGGCCAACAUGGGGAAACCCUGUCUCUACUAAAACACAAAAAUUAGCCGGGUGUAGUGGUGGACAUCUGUAAUCCCAGCUAUUCAGGAGGCUGAGGCAGGAGAAUCGCAUGAACCGGGGAGGUGGAGGUCGCAGUGAGCCGAGAUCGUGCCGCUGCACUCCAGCUGGGAAACAGAGUGAGACUGUCUCAAAAACAAAAACCAAACUCCUGUUUCCUUGUCUGACCCUUGUCUGUAUAACACCCCUUUGUGUCCCCAGUAAAGCAGAGUUGUGGCUGACGUCAUUAGGGGCCUAUAAUUUCUACCUCAAAGAAGCCACCAGAUCUGUCCCUUCAGUGGUUAGACUGAACAGGACUGACUUGGCUAAGGGCAAAACCCUUCUUUCCACCUCCUUCCACACUCAGAAUUGUUUGGCAACCUCUCUUUAGGAGGCAGGUAAUAAACAGUAAACCUUACAUAGUGCUCACUG